rnacentral:rRNA from 1 species
CAGUUCGGAUUGUAGGCUGAAACUCGCCUACAUGAAGCUGGAGUUACUAGUAAUCGCAGAUCAGAAUGCUGCGGUGAAUGCGUUCCCGGGUCUUGCACACACCGCCCGUCACACCACGGAAGUUGGGGGCGCCCGAAGCCACUUAGCUAACCCUUUUGGGAAGCGAGUGUCGAAGGUGAAAUCAAUAACUGGGGUGAAGUCGUAACAAGGUAUC